GGCGGGGUAGCUCAGAGGCAGAGCAGACGGCUCAUAUCCGUCCGGUCCCGAGUUCGAAUCUCGGCUCCGCCA
rnacentral:tRNA from 3 species